rnacentral:ncRNA from 1 species
UGAAAAGGAUAACUGCGGAAAUUCUGGAGCUAAUACAUGCGACUAUACUCCAACGCAAGGCGGGGUGCAAUUAUUAGAACAGACCAAACGUUUUCGGACGUUGUUUGUUGACUCUGAAUACCGUCGUUUACUGUCAGUUUCGACUGACUCUAUCCGAGAAGGGUGUCUGCCCUUUCAACUAGAUGGUAAUCUAUUGGACUACCAUGGUUGUUACGGGUAACGGAGAAUUAGGGUUCGACUCCGGAGAGGGAGCCUUAGAAACGGCUACCACGUCCAAGGAAGGCAGCAGGCGCGAAACUUAUCCACUGUUGAGUAUGAGAUAGUGACUAAAAAUAUAAAGACUCAUCCUUUUGGAUGAGUUAUUUCAAUGAGUUGAAUAUAAAUUAUUCUUCGAGUAGCAAGGAGAGGGCAAGUCUGGUGCCAGCAGCCGCGGUAAUUCCAGCUCUCCUAGUGUAUCUCGUUAUUGCUGCGGUUAAAAAGCUCGUAGUUGGAUCUAGGUUACGUGCCGCAGUUCGCAAUUUGCGUUAACUGUGGUCGUGACUUCUAAUUUGCUGGUUUGAGGUUGGGUUCGCCCUUCAACUGCCAGCAGGUUUACCUUGAAUAAAUCAGAGUGCUCAAUACAGGCGCUUGCUUGAAUAGGUCAUCAUGGAAUAAUGAAACAGGACUUCGGUUCUUUUUGUUGGUUCUAGAAUUGAUCUAAUGGUUAAGAGGGACAAACCGGGGGCAUUCGUAUCAUUACGCGAGAGGUGAAAUUCGUGGACCGUAGUGAGACGCCCAAUAGCGAAAGCAUUUGCCAAGAAUGUCUUCAUUAAUCAAGAACGAAAGUCAGAGGUUCGAAGGCGAUUAGAUACCGCCCUAGUUCUGACCGUAAACGAUGCCAUCUCGCGAUUCGGAGGGUUCAUGCCCUACCGAGGAGCUACCCGGAACGAAAGUCUUUCGGUUCCGGGGGUAGUAUGGUUGCAAAGCUGAACUUAAAGAAAUUGACGGAAGGGCACCACAAGGCGUGAGCUUGCGGCUUAAUUUG